rnacentral:rRNA from 1 species
AUUGAACGCUGGCGGAAUGCUUUGCACAUGCAAGUCGAACGGCAGCACGGACUUCGGUCUGGUGGCGAGUGGUGAACGGGUGAGUAAUACAUCGGAACGUGCCCAGUCGUGGGGGAUAACGUAGCGAAAGCUACGCUAAUACCGCAUACGAUCUAAGGAUGAAAGCGGGGGAUCGCAAGACCUCGCGCGAUUGGAGCGGCCGAUGGCAGAUUAGGUAGUUGGUAGGGUAAAGGCCUACCAAGCCGACGAUCUGUAGCUGGUCUGAGAGGAUGAUCAGCCACACUGGGACUGAGACACGGCCCAGACUCCUACGGGAGGCAGCAGUGGGGAAUUUUGGACAAUGGGCGCAAGCCUGAUCCAGCCACUCCGCGUGCAGGAUGAAGGCCUUCGGGUUGUAAACUGCUUUUGUACAGAACGGAAAGGCUCUGGUUAAUACCCGGGGCUCAUGACGGUACUGUAAGAAUAAGCACCGGCUAACUACGUGCCAGCCGCCGCCGUAA